CAUCCCGAAAACACACAAAAUAUAUAAAGUCGCCCUACACACUGCUGGCGUCACAAAGCGUGCACCUCACAAGCAAGGCGAGUUUUCCAGCUCCGCGUGCCUUGCAGGUAGUCGAAAGGUUGAACUACUUGGUCAGCAGGGGCCCCGCAGGGUGGACAGAGGCGUGUGGCUCCUAGCCAGUGCCUCUCUAGGAGCAUCGAGUUAUCUUUCCUUGACGUCGCUGUGAGACGGGAUGAAAUCUAUCAGGAGGUUCAGCUAGAGUCGGAGAGGAGGGAUCGAUGUACACACCACAUCCCAAGUUCUGGAAGCUCCCAGAUGGAAAGCCGCCUCUGCAGGGGUUUCGGAGCGUGGGCUGCCAGCGGGCCAUAGCUCAGCGGUGGAGCGCGUGCUGCGCGUUCCCGAGGCCCCUGGUCGAUCCCGGAGCCUCCAGGGGCUUAGGCUAGCCUUGAACUCCCUGGGGCCACCUCACCUCAUAGCGAUCCUCCUGCCUCAGCCUCUGGAGACCUGGGACUACAGGCAUGCAGCACCUCACCCGGCAACUCGUUAGAGCUGAGACCUCAAUGGUUCCAUGAUGCUGUGACGCUCAACGGCAGGAUUACACCAGCUGAAGACGCCCUGGGUCUCUGAGAACCGAGCAGAAAGGCCUUACCUGGGGAAGGACAAAUCAAAUUCCUUAUCAGCUUAACUCAUCCCACCUACUGUUGUAAGCGCAUCUUCCACAUCUGGCCUUCCUGAUGAACGUAAGGCCCUGGUCAGUGUAAAAUCCUCAUCAGCAUAAGAUCCUCAUGGUUUUAGGAUUACGGUGGCCCUGUGAGUCACUGUCACUCCCUAUGGACCCAGCAGAGAGGCGAGCUCGGGUCUGUCCUCUUUGCCACCCAGAGCAGCCCUCACCAGGCCCAAAGCUCAGCUUCUCCC
rnacentral:lncRNA from 1 species